rnacentral:ncRNA from 1 species
UACCUGAUUGAUUCUGUCAGCGCGAUAUGCUCAAGUAAAAGAUUAAGCCAUGCAUGCUUUGAUUCAUAAAUGAAAUUGCGUACGGCUCAUUAGAGCAGAUAUCACCUUUCUCGGAAUCCUGAAAAGGAUAACUGCGGAAAUUCUGGAGCUAAUACAUGCGACUAUACUCCAACGCAAGGCGGGGUGCAAUUAUUAGAACAGACCAAACGUUUUCGGACGUUGUUUGUUGACUCUGAAUACCGUCGUUUACUGUCAGUUUCGACUGACUCUAUCCGAGAAGGGUGUCUGCCCUUUCAACUAGAUGGUAAUCUAUUGGACUACCAUGGUUGUUACGGGUAACGGAGAAUUAGGGUUCGACUCCGGAGAGGGAGCCUUAGAAACGGCUACCACGUCCAAGGAAGGCAGCAGGCGCGAAACUUAUCCACUGUUGAGUAUGAGAUAGUGACUAAAAAUAUAAAGACUCAUCCUUUUGGAUGAGUUAUUUCAAUGAGUUGAAUAUAAAUUAUUCUUCGAGUAGCAAGGAGAGGGCAAGUCUGGUGCCAGCAGCCGCGGUAAUUCCAGCUCUCCUAGUGUAUCUCGUUAUUGCUGCGGUUAAAAAGCUCGUAGUUGGAUCUAGGUUACGUGCCGCAGUUCGCAAUUUGCGUUAACUGUGGUCGUGACUUCUAAUUUGCUGGUUUGAGGUUGGGUUCGCCCUUCACUGCCAGCAGGUUACCUUGAAUAAAUCAGAGUGCUCAAUACAGGCGCUUGCUUGAAUAGCUCAUCAUGAAUUAAUGAAAC